AGGAAGGAGCCGUGGCCGUCUGCGUGCGAGUGCGGCCGCUGAACAGCAGAAUCACUUGGAGAAACUGCCCAAGUUUACUGGAAAACUGACAAUAAUGUCAUUUAUCAAGUUGAUGGAAGUAAAUCCUUCAAUUUUGAUCGUGUCUUUCAUGGUAAUGAAACUACCAAAAAUGUGUAUGAAGAAAUAGCAGCACCAAUCAUCGAUUCUGCCAUACAAGGCUACAAUGGUACUAUAUUUGCCUAUGGACAGACUGCUUCAGGAAAAACAUAUACCAUGAUGGGUUCAGAAGAUCAUUUGGGAGUUAUACCCAGGGCAAUUCAUGACAUUUUCCAAAAAAUUAAGAAGUUUCCUGAUAGGGAAUUUCUCUUACGUGUAUCUUACAUGGAAAUAUACAAUGAAACCAUUACAGAUUUACUCUGUGGCACUCAAAAAAUGAAACCUUUAAUUAUUCGAGAAGAUGUCAAUAGGAAUGUGUAUGUUGCUGAUCUCACAGAAGAAGUUGUAUAUACAUCAGAAAUGGCUUUGAAAUGGAUUACAAAGGGAGAAAAGAGCAGGCAUUAUGGAGAAACAAAAAUGAAUCAAAGAAGCAGUCGUUCUCAUACCAUCUUUAGGAUGAUUUUGGAAAGCAGAGAGAAGGGUGAACCUUCUAAUUGUGAAGG
rnacentral:lncRNA from 1 species